GACAGAGGAGCCAAGCGUUGUCCGGAUUGACUGGGCGUAAAGCGCACGCAGGCGGAACGGCGCGUGGGGUGUGAAAGCUGGCGGCUUAACUGCCAGUCGCCAUCCCAUACGGCCAUUCUGGAGCCUUGCAGAGGGCAGUGGAAUUGCCGGUGUAGUGGUGAAAUGCGUAGAGAUCGGCAGGAACACCCAGGGGGAAACCAGCUGCCUGGGCAAGCGCUGACGCUGAGGUGCGAAGGCGUGGGGAGCGAACGGG
rnacentral:rRNA from 1 species